CUCCAUGGUUAAUACCCAUGGACGAUGACAUUAGCUGCAGAAUAAGCACCGGCUAACUCUGUGCCAGCAGCCGCGGUAAUACAGAGGGUGCAAGCGUUAAUCGGAAUUACUGGGCGUAAAGCGAGCGUAGGUGGCUUGAUAAGUCAGAUGUGAAAUCCCCGGGCUCAACCUGGGAACUGCAUCUGAAACUGUUAGGCUAGAGUAGGUGAGAGGGAAGUAGAAUUUCAGGUGUAGCGGUGAAAUGCGUAGAGAUCUGAAGGAAUACCGAUGGCGAAGGCAGCCUCCUGGCAUCAUACUGACACUGAGGCUCGAAAGCGUGGGUAGCAAACAGGAUUAGAUACCCUGGUAGUCCACGCCGUAAACGAUGUC
rnacentral:rRNA from 1 species